rnacentral:misc_RNA from 1 species
AACGGUAUGUAUCUAUACAUAUCUAUACAUAUUUUAAAGUAUAAUAAUAUUAGAGGUGAGAUUAUUCACUUAUCAUUAUGCAAAUGCUGAUAAAAUUAGAAUUUUUGUUGUCUAGACUAAGUCUUAACAAAACGAGCCCGUUACGUUGCAGCAUUUUAAAUCAAAUUCAAAAAGCUAUAUUAGAAUCAAACAGAAGUUGUAAAAUGAAAUACAAAAGCCUGCAAAUCGUUGGUUUGGUCCAUAUGUAAAAAUAUAGAUGUGAUCUUAGCGUGAAUUUCCUUCAAAUUACUUGUAAGAUGCUGUUUUGUUAUUGAACUAUUGGAUUCCUUGUUUUUAAGGAGAACAAGUAAUUUUGCCUUUAGGCGAUGUAAAAUUGUCAGACGCACUUGAUGGCCUACUCUAAUCUUGUUAUUUGAUAUUAAUCUGGUUUUCAUGUGUACAAUUAUCUUUAAUUGGAAGCUAAUUACUUAAGCCUUGCUUAUGUUUGUAGGA